UUUUAGUUAUUGUGCAUGCAGUGGUCUGAAUUACCGAAAUUUUUACGACGUUUGUUCAUAAUCUUGUUCUUGAAAAUGUUGACGAAUAUCAAAAAAGAUAGAAUUAUAGUGUAAUUAUCAAUUACUACAAGAUCAGUGCUCGAAAUUACGACAAAAUCAUUUGCAGUUGAAGAGGACCAAAGCUAAGAGGCUAGAUUCCGGAUUGUGGUCGUUUUUAAGUGAUGAAUUAAUGAAAAAAACUACUCCAUGCUACGUUCAUGAGUAAGAAAUGUAUAGUUACACUAUGUUUUGUGCACAAAAUGCACAAUCAGCCCUGAAAAGUGCUUGGAUGUUUGGAAUCGUUUGUGAACGCUUUUUCAUCUAACUGUCAAAAAUAAGCUUUCAAAAUGGUGGAUCAAAAUCGUGUUAUGCAUCGACCUCUGUAUUAUAUAGACUUUGGGGCUAAUGUAAACAACGGGUCACAACGGCUUUCGAAAACGCUCGCCAGCGAGAAAAAUCGCACUGACCAGAUUUUGCUCUGCGGGAUUGCGCGCCAUCUGCCAAAAAAGUAGCCCAGUUUUGCAGAAAACGCGGCAAUCAUGAACAAAUGACAGCUUGGGUUCAUUCAAGGUGCAUUUCAUUUCUGCUCAUUUUUGGUGAUCACGAUCGAGCUCUUCAGUACGGACAGCCCGGAAAAAAGUGUUAAGUUGUUAAGGUUAUAUCAGUUUUCCGGUGAUCGGUGUCUUUUCUGAUAAUGGGCUCUCACGGAAGGCAACGACAUUUUAUUUUUAGACUGUUAGUAUGUCGAACGAGAUCAGCAUUGCAUUCAUCCGCGCUGUUAAAAAAAAACCAGUGAUCUGGUGCAAACAAUCACCAGAACACAAAAACAAGCAAGCACAGAUGAAUGCUUGGAUGGAGCUAGAAGUAGAUUUUGAGAUGCCUUGGGAGCAAUUACAAAAAAAAUGGAUCUCACUGAAUAGCUCUUUUCGGCAUUACAAGAAAGUUGAAAGCGAACAAGUCGGACAGGCUACAGACAGACAGACUACGCCAAAGUGGUAUGCAUAUGAGGAAUUAAAAUUUUUAAACACGGCAACAGACACGCCCCACCCCGACACCUCACGAGAAUGUUCACCACCACCCGAUCCGUCUUGUCCACCCUCUGAAGAAAUUCCGAAUCCCGAUGACGAGGAAUUUUUGGAGUGGUUUAACGAAACGUUUAAAAAAUUGCCUCCUAAAUGCCGGCAGUUCGUGAAAGGAGCAAUCAAGAAUUGGAUUUCAGAUCCCUAUAAAAUAGAAGAAUACUUUGAUGAAUGAGAAAAAAAUAAAAUUGUAAAUCCUCACUUCACACUUUUCACACAGAAAACACGUUUGGCUUCUUCGGUUUUCAAGCGGCA